rnacentral:rRNA from 1 species
UACGUAGGUGGCAAGCGUUAUCCGGAAUUAUUGGGCGUAAAGAGCGCGCAGGUGGUUAAUUAAGUCUGAUGUGAAAGCCCACGGCUUAACCGUGGAGGGUCAUUGGAAACUGGUUGACUGGAGAGCAGGAGAGGGCGGUGGAACUCCAUGUGUAGCGGUAAAAUGCGUAGAUAUAUGGAAGAACACCAGUGGCGAAGGCGGCCGCCUGGCCUGUUGCUGACGCUGAGGCACGAAAGCGUGGGGAGCAAAUAGG